UGUGUAGGCGGUUCCUUAAGUUUGGUGUGAAAUCUCCCGGCUCAACCGGGAGGGUGCGCCGAAUACUGAGGAGCUAGAGUGCGGGAGAGGAGAGUGGAAUUCCUGGUGUAGCGGUGAAAUGCGUAGAUAUCAGGAGGAACACCGGUGGUGCAAACGGCUCUCUGGACCGUAACUGACGCUGAAACACGAAAGCGUGGGUAGCAAACAGGAUUAGAUACCCUGGUAGUCCACGCCCUAAACGAUGCAUAUUUGGUGUGGGUCAUUCAGUUGAUCCGUGCCGGAGCUAACGCGUUAAAUAUGCCGCCUGGGGAGUACAGUCGCAAGGCUGAA
rnacentral:rRNA from 1 species